GCUAGUUUCAGAUAUACUAGUUAUAUACUAGUUAAAGCUAGUGCUAAAUAGCGGAUCGCCCAGGAGCUGCUGGCAGGUGAAGUGUGCUAGCGCUUAGACAGCAACACCACCCAGGAGCAUCUAUCUAUUAUAUUACACCAAAUUAUAAAACUAAUAACAAGGCUAUACAAGAUAAAACCAUGCAGCAGUACGCAAAUCAUUUACCGUGUGUUUUUCAUACUAUAAGACAAGACGGAUAAUAAGGUGUACUCUUAAUGAGAUCUAUCUAUCUAUAAUGGUCUAUUUUCUUACACAAGGCGCACCGGAUUAUGAGACGCAUUAAGCGACACUAGUAAGGAUGCCUACAUCAAAGUGAAGCAAGGGUAUCGUCAUGUUUCCCUUCUAAUGGUGAAGCUGUGGAAAGUGCCUAAGUAAACAAAACAGUCAAACGAGUGCUGGAUGUUAAUGUACACAGAUUUCUUUCCUGAAAACUGUUUAUUUGGGUAUGUAAGAUCAUGAGAUGACAGCAUCUUCUCCGGUUUGCUGGAGUGAAGAGCAGCCCAGGCAUCCCACCUAUCACACUAAGAGUGAGACUCCAUCCAGCGCUGGAUUUACUCUGGAUUGGCGUCCCACCUCGGUCUGUUCGAGAGAUGAAAGAUGUCCAAAUAUAACCCCGGCACUGAUUGCUGACCUUUCCAGUGGAACAGCACGCUGGUGGGUGGGUGUGGAUGUCUGGUAUGCAGGGCUGUGAUAGCUGAAGGAGCAGGUUGAAGAGGAGAACGAGGAGGAAGCGCUCUGGCCACUGCUGCUGAUCAUGUGGUGCGAUUGAUCCCGGGACGCCGCCGGCGUUUGAAGUCUGCACAGCUGCUACCAUAGAAGGCGAAGGAAGAGAGAAAGAGAGAGAGAAAGGAAAGGCAUGUCGAUCUCCCUGCAGAUGUGAAAACCUCAAUUAUGCUGAUACUCGAAAGCCUGAUUGUGGGCUUUUUGUAUUGAAAUCCUGUAUUAAAUAUGUUAUAUACAGGGGUUGGACAAAGAAACUGAAACACCUGUCAUUUUAGUGUGGCUAAAUUGGAGCAGCCUGGUGGUCAAUCUUCAUUAAUUGCACAUUGCACCAGUAAGAGCAGAGUGUGAAGGUUCAGUUAGCAGGGUAAGAGCACAGUUUUGCUCUAAAUAUUACAUUGCAAUGCACACAACAUUAUGGGUGACAUAACAGAGUUCAAAAGAGGACAAAUUGUUGGUGCACAUCCUGCUGGAGCAGCUGUGACCAAGACAGCAAGUCUUUGUGAUGCAUCAAGAGCCAUGGUAUCCAGGGUAAUGUCAGCAUACUACCAAGAAGGACCAACCACAUCCAACAGGAUUAACUGUGGACGCUGUAAGAUGAAGCUGUCUGAAAGGGAUGUUCGGGUGCUAACCCGGAUUGUAUCCCAAAAACAUAAAACCACGGCUGAUCAAAUCACGCAGAAUUCAAUGUGCACCUCAACUCAACUGUUUCCACCAAAACUGUUCGUCACCACAAUAAAUUAUUGUGCUCUAAAACCAGGUGUUUCAGUUUCAUUGUCCAACCCCUGUAGUUACAUCCCUGACCACUGACCUGUAACACGCAACACACUGUUACACUGCUAAGUUUUAAUAGAUCUUUCAGCGGAUGUGUGCGCAUAUAAAUGUAUAUAUUGACACUGUGUGAUAACUUUGUUUUGAGUUAAGUAGAUUAACUUUAUUCACAGUUCAGUAAAUCUGUUUUUAGCUCGGGUGUGAUCUCACUGUAACUACAGUCUGAGUGUGAAAUUCGAAGUGAUUGCAGCAGAAAUAUAGCUGAUGUAGACAUGCUCUCAAAUCGGCUGCAGCUUUACUGUGUUCUAUUUGUGUACUCCACCCCCCAACACACAAACACACACAC